GACGAACGCUGGCGGCGUGCUUAACACAUGCAAGUCGAGCGAUGAAAGCCUUAUGAACUAUUCGUAGUGAUUGGGGCCGGAUUAGCGGCGGACGGGUGAGUAACGCGUGAGCAACCUGCCUUAAACAACGGGAUAGCCUCGGGAAACCGGGAUUAAUACCGUAUGAGACCCCGCCUUCACAUGAAGAAGAGGUUAAAGAUUUAUCGGUUUAAGAUGGGCUCGCGUCUGAUUAGCUAGUUGGUGAGAUAAAAGCCUACCAAGGCAACGAUCAGUAACCGGCUUGAGAGAGUGAACGGUCAUAUUGGAACUGAGACACGGUCCAAACUCCUACGGGAGGCAGCAGUGGGGAAUAUUGCACAAUGGGGGAAACCCUGAUGCAGCGACGCCGCGUGAGCGAUGAAGGAAUUCGUUUCGUAAAGCUCUGUCCAAGGGGAAGAUAAUGACAGUACCCUUGGAGGAAGCCCCGGCUAAAUACGUGCCAGCCGCCGCCGUAA
rnacentral:rRNA from 1 species